rfam:Nelumbo nucifera unplaced genomic scaffold scaffold00043, whole genome shotgun sequence
GGGGAUGUAGCUCAAACGGUAGAGCUUUUGCUUUGCAUGCGAGAAGUACGGGGUUCGAUACACGGCAUCUCCA